AGUGAACGCUGGCGGUAGGCCUAACACAUGCAAGUCGAACGGCAGCACAGUAAGCGCUUGCUCUUACGGGUGGCGAGUGGCGGACGGGUGAGGAAUACAUCGGAAUCUACUUUUUCGUGGGGGAUAACGUAGGGAAACUUACGCUACUACCGCAUACGACCUACGGGUGAAAGCAGGGGAUCUUCGGACCUUGCGCGAUUGAAUUAGCCGAUGUCGGAUUAGCUAGUUGGCGGGGUAAAGGCCCACCAAGGCGACGAUCCGUAGCUGGUCUGAGAGGAUGAUCAGCCAUACUGGAACUGAGACACGGUCCAGACUCCUACGGGAGGCAGCAGUGGGGAAUAUUGGACAAUGGGCGCAAGCCUGAUCCAGCCAUACCGCGUGGGUGAAGAAGGCCUUCGGGUUGUAAAGCCCUUUUGUUGGGAAAGAAAAGCAGCAGGUUAAUACCCCGCUGUUCUGACGGUACCCAAAGAAUAAGCACCGGCUAACUUCGUG
rnacentral:rRNA from 1 species